UACGAAGGGGGGCUAGCGUUGCUCGGAAUUACUGGGCGUAAAGCGCACGUAGGCGGCUUCUUAAGUCGGUGGUGAAAUCCUGGAGCUCAACUCCAGAACUGCCUUCGAUACUGGGAGCUCGAGUCCGGGAGAGGUGAGUGGAACUGCGAGUGUAGAGGUGAAAUUCGUAGAUAUUCGCAAGAACACCAGUGGCGAAGGCGGCUCACUGGCCCGGUACUGACGCUGAGGUGGCGAAAGCGUGGGGAGCAAACAGG
rnacentral:rRNA from 1 species